GAUGAACGCUGGCGGCGUGCCUAAUACAUGCAAGUCGAGCGAACAGGCGAUGACCUUGUUCCUCUGACGUUAGCGGCGGGGGGGUGAGUAACACGUGGAUAACCCACCUAUAAUACUGGGAUAACUUGGGAAAGCGGGUGCUAAUACCGGAUAAUAUAUUGCGCCAUAGGGUCAGUUAGUAAAAGUCGGGUUUGCUGUCACGAAUAGAUGUAUCCGCGCCGCAUUAGCUGGUUGGUAAGGUACCGGCUUAACAAGGCAACGAUGCGUAGACGAACUGAGCGGGUGAUAGGCCGCACAGGAACUGAGACACGGACACGAGGCCUACGGGCGGCCGCAGGAGGGAAGCAAGGGAAAUUGGCGAAAGCGUGACGGAGCAAAGCAGCGUCGGCGAGGGAGGGCUUCAGAUCGUAAGCCUCUAUUCUUCGGGAGGAACAGAUAUAUAACCAACUAUGCACGUCUUGACGGUACCUAAUAAGAAAGCCACGGCUAACUACGUG
rnacentral:rRNA from 1 species